CCUCCAGCGUCCAUGAAACUCAGAUAAUAUAAUUAACUAGUCAAAGAAUAUUAGCCGGAAAGUACUGCAUAGAAAUUGCUUUGCAGUGUACAAAUAUGUAAAAGAGAGAGAUAUCAAAAUAGACUGUCAAUUCUUGUUUGUGUUGGUGUUAUCUUUGUGUGAGAACAAAUAUUUACUUCAAUUUUUCAGGGUAAAAUUAGUUUUUAUGGUUUUCAUGCAAUUUAUAUUUGUCAAGAGAAAUGCAAGGUAUUGAAUUGCAGACUGGCUGGAACAAAAAAAUUAAAAUUAUACUCAAUGGACAAUGAAAUUGUUUAACGCUAUUUGAAGUUGGGUUAUGCAAUGCUUUAAUACAUAAUAUGGCUACUGUGCGUGUUAACCAAAGCAGCUUUAAAGUGAAUAGAUGUUUUUGCAAUACCAACAUAUGUUAAACUAAGUCUGAUAAUUGAGAAAAAUACGAAGAGCAAAUUGUUGGUACCUCGAGUUAGGGAGACGUUGAACAUGCUGCUGGUGAUCAAUCCAUGAAUUGCUUGCACAUUUGUAUUACCGACAUAAGAUGCAUCUAAAUCGAUCUUGUUACCGUGGUAUUCGUGCGUGCUAUACUGUUGAAUUGAUAGAUAUUCGGGGACGAGUGCAAGAGAAAAGAAAAAUGACACGGCGACACAAAGUGAAGGGAGAGCCGAGCAAAAACCUCGUGCCAUCUCCCUUCAAAAACACAAAACAAAAAUUUUUAUUAGGUUAUUUUUUUGACCUGCCAAGCAAGCGCACCUGACAUGGCAAAGGCCAGACUCACACACAUUUAACACACACGAACAAUAAUCAAAACAUUCCCUCUCUGUACCUCUCUUUUUAUCUCUCUCGCUACAUAUAAUUAUACUUAUCACAGUCGCAACAAUAAAAUUAACAUUUUCAAUACCAAUUCAAU
rnacentral:lncRNA from 1 species